rnacentral:rRNA from 1 species
UACGAAGGGGGCUAGCGUUGUUCGGAAUUACUGGGCGUAAAGCGCACGUAGGCGGGUUGUUAAGUCAGGGGUGAAAUCCUGGAGCUCAACUCCAGAACUGCCUUUGAUACUGGCAACCUAGAGACUGGAAGAGGUUAGUGGAAUUCCCAGUGUAGCGGUGAAAAUGCGUAGAUAUUGGGAGGAACACCAGUGGCGAAGGCGGCUCACUGGACCGGUACUGACGCUGAGGCGCGAAAAGCGUGGGGAGCAAACGGG